rnacentral:rRNA from 1 species
UACAGAGGGGGCAAGCGUUGUUCGGAAUUACUGGGCGUAAAGGGCGCGUAGGCGGCCUGUUAAGUCGAACGUGAAAUCCCCGGGCUCAACCCGGGAACUGCGUCCGAUACUGGCAGGCUUGAAUCCGGGAGAGGGAUGCGGAAUUCCAGGUGUAGCGGUGAAAUGCGUAGAUAUUGGGAAGAACACCGGUGGCGAAGGCGGCUCUCUGGACCGUAACUGACGCUGAGGCGCGAAAGCGUGGGGAGCAAACAGG